AUGGCGGUGUCGAAGAGGCUCGCGGCGGCGGCGCUGCUGGUGCUGCUCGCGCUGGCGGCGCCCGCGGCCGCCAAAACGACGCGGGAGGCCGCCGAGGCGGCGUCCGCGGCGAAGACGACGCCGGGCGGCGCGGAGGUGGCGCCGGGCAAGGAGGAAGAGUCGUGGACGGGGUGGGCCAAGGACAAGAUCUCCGAGGGCCUCGGCCUGGACAAGAUCUCCGAGGGGCUGGGGCUCAAGCACCACGCCGACGAGGAGGAGGCCGCCCGCAAGGCCGGGCACACCGUCAAGUCCGCCCGCGAGACCGUCCAGCACACCGCCUCCGAGACGGGGAGGCAGGCGAGCGGCAAGGCUUCGGACGCCAAGGAGGCGGCGGAGCAGGCGGCGACCGGGGCGGCCAACAAGGCGGGGCAGGCCAAGGACAAGGCGGCGGAGACGGUGAAGGGCACGGCCGGCGAGGCGUCUAAGAAGGCGGAGCAGGCCAAGCACAAGACCAAGGAGACCGCGGAGGCGGCCGCCAAGACUGGCGCCGAGACGCACGAGCGGUCGAAGCAGGGCAAGGCCAAGGUUGAGGAGACGGCCAAGGAGAAGGCCGGACAGGGGUACGAGACUCUGAAGCAAACCAAGGACGCGGCCGCCGAGAAGGCCGGCACCGCCAAGGACACGGCUGCGGAAAAGGCUGGCCAGGGGUACGAGACGCUGAAGCAGUCCAAGGACGCCGCCGCGGAGAAAUCCGGCGGCGCCACGCAGACGGCCGCGGAGAAGGCAGCGGCAGCCAAGGACGCCGCCGCGGAGAAAGCCGGUGGCGCCACGCAGACGGCCGCUGAGAAGGCAGCGGCUGCGAAGGACGCAGCCGCGGAGAAGGCCGGCGCCGCCAAGCAGACGGCAGCAGAGAAGGCAGCGGCAGCGAAGGAUGCCGCCGCUGAGAAGGCCCGCGCCGCGAAGGACGCGGCGUGGGAGACGACGGAGUCCGCCAAGGACGCCACAUGGCAGGCGCAGGAGAAGCUGAAGCAAUACAACGACGUCGCGUCGGAGAAGGCCGCGAACGUGAAGGACGCCGCUGCGGAGAAAGCCGGCGCGACCAAGCAGACGGCCGCGGAGAAGGCAGCGGCAGCGAAGGAUACCGCCGCGGAGAAGGCCGCGGCCGCCAAGGAUGCCGCGUGGAAGAACGCCGAGGCGGCCAAGGGCACUGUCGGGGAGAAGGCAGGGGCGGCCAAGGACGCCACGUUGGAGAAGACGGCGUCGGCUAAGGACGCCGCGUGGGAGACGGCGGAGGCGGCCAAGGACACGGCCUGGGAGACGGCGGAGGCGGCCAAGGGGAAGGCCAACCAGGGGUACGAGAAGGUGAAGGAGAAGGUUGGGGAGGUGAAGGACAAGGUCACCGGCGCGGCAGCCGACGGCAAGGGCAAGAAGCACCGCAAGGACGACGAGCUGUGA
rnacentral:rRNA from 1 species